ACGAACGCUGGCGGCGUGCCUAAUACAUGCAAGUCGAACGAAACUUUCUUACACCGAAUGCUUGCAUUCACCGUAAGAAGUUGAGUGGCGGACGGGUGAGUAACACGUGGGUAACCUGCCUAAAAGAAGGGGAUAACACUUGGAAACAGGUGCUAAUACCGUAUAUCUCUAAGGAUCGCAUGAUCCUUAGAUGAAAGAUGGUUCUGCUAUCGCUUUUAGAUGGACCCGCGGCGUAUUAACUAGUUGGUGGGGUAACGGCCUACCAAGGUGAUGAUACGUAGCCGAACUGAGAGGUUGAUCGGCCACAUUGGGACUGAGACACGGCCCAAACUCCUACGGGAGGCAGCAGUAGGGAAUCUUCCACAAUGGACGCAAGUCUGAUGGAGCAACGCCGCGUGAGUGAAGAAGGUCUUCGGAUCGUAAAACUCUGUUGUUAGAGAAGAACACGAGUGAGAGUAACUGUUCAUUCGAUGACGGUAUCUAACCAGCAAGUCACGGCUAACUACGUGCCAGCAGCCGCGGUAAUACGUAGGUGGCAAGCGUUGUCCGGAUUUAUUGGGCGUAAAGGGAACGCAGGCGGUCUUUUAAGUCUGAUGUGAAAGCCUUCGGCUUAACCGGAGUAGUGCAUUGGAAACUGGAAGACUUGAGUGCAGAAGAGGAGAGUGGAACUCCAUGUGUAGCGGUGAAAUGCGUAGAUAUAUGGAAGAACACCAGUGGCGAAAGCGGCUCUCUGGUCUGUAACUGACGCUGAGGUUCGAAAGCGUGGGUAGCAAACAGGAUUAGAUACCCUGGUAGUCCACGCCGUAAACGAUGAAUGCUAGGUGUUGGAGGGUUUCCGCCCUUCAGUGCCGCAGCUAACGCAAUAAGCAUUCCGCCUGGGGAGUACGACCGCAAGGUUGAAACUCAAAGGAAUUGACGGGGGCCCGCACAAGCGGUGGAUUAUGUGGUUUAAUUCGAAGCAACGCGAAGAACCUUACCAGGUCUUGACAUCCUUUGACCACCUAAGAGAUUAGGCUUUCCCUUCGGGGACAAAGUGACAGGUGGUGCAUGGCUGUCGUCAGCUCGUGUCGUGAGAUGUUGGGUUAAGUCCCGCAACGAGCGCAACCCUUGUUGUCAGUUGCCAGCAUUAAGUUGGGCACUCUGGCGAGACUGCCGGUGACAAACCGGAGGAAGGUGGGGACGACGUCAAGUCAUCAUGCCCCUUAUGACCUGGGCUACACACGUGCUACAAUGGACGGUACAACGAGUCGCGAGACCGCGAGGUUUAGCUAAUCUCUUAAAGCCGUUCUCAGUUCGGAUUGUAGGCUGCAACUCGCCUACAUGAAGUCGGAAUCGCUAGUAAUCGCGAAUCAGCAUGUCGCGGUGAAUACGUUCCCGGGCCUUGUACACACCGCCCGUCACACCAUGAGAGUUUGUAACACCCAAAGCCGGUGGGGUAACCGCAAGGAGCCAGCCGUCUAAGGUGGGACAGAUGAUUGGGGUG
rnacentral:rRNA from 1 species